ensembl:lncRNA
AGUUUGCUAAGAUUUGGGCCAGCGUGUCCUAUUAUCUCAGUCAACAACUGGCCUUCCACCAGGCUGUGCGCAUUCCUGGACUGGGGACUUUCACGGUUGUCAGCAUGUAGUCAGCCAGCAGAAGGUUCUGGUUGCUGUUGAGAGACCUGUGUUUCAUCUGGCAAAGGCUCUUGUGCAGGACCAUGAUCUCCAGUAUGAUGCCAUAGAUGUUCCAGGCCAUGGCCAGUGUCAGCAACUUCCAUAUGCUCAGAUAGCCUCAGAAAACGGCAUCUGUCAGGGCACAGCGCAGCUUUGCGUGGAAAGGACUGUGUGCCUUUUCAGCGCCUGUGUAGAGAAGAGGCGGAACAUUGCCUUCAUUUGGAGGGACGUUGGCAUGCUGCUGAUUGAGGGCAGACGGGUCCAAAUGAGAUUCUACAAGGACUUCCUAGGGAAGCUCAGUGGGACUGCUGACAUGUUGCAGGCUCUUCUUGCGAUGCCAGAAAUGAUCAAAUCGGUCAUCUCACGCAAUGACUGUGCAGCUUCCCACACAACUUCCGGACGUGUUACUGUCUUUCCAUUGAACAAGCAGGAGAGUGUACUUAAAAUGGCUGAAACAGCAAAGGUGGUCCUGAAACGCCGCAUGAAGACCAGCCGAGAGCUAGGCUGGGCAAGAGCUGGUGACACAGGCAGGAAAGGGGACCUUUGCGAGGCGCGCCUCCUUCAUCGAGCAGUGCUUUCUCCACAGAGAUUACUGGCAUUGACUGUAAUGCCAGAAAAAGGCCAGAAAGCUGAGGAGAAAGAGCCUUGCACCAGGCAGCUACUGGCCAUCCUGAGGAGAUCCUUGGAGGAAAAAGAAGCACAUGAGAAAGUGAUUCCUCUGGGCACUCCCAGGAUGGUGGACUUCUUUGCUGAAGCAGUGGAGGAGAAUAGAAGGAAGGGCUCUUCAGUCGAGUUCGCAGGAGCCUGGCAGCAAACCAGAAAGAAAAAACGGUUUCAGACCAAGAAGGUGAAGAAGGGGAAGGAGGAGAAGGGGAAGAAGGUGAAGAAGGAGAAGGAGGAGAAGGGGAAGAAGGAGAAAAAGGAGAAGAAGGAGAAGGAGGAGAAGGGGAAGAAGGAGAAAAAGGAGAAGGAGGGGAAGAAGGAGAAGGAGGAGAAGAAGGUGAAGGUGAAGGAGGAGAAGGUGGUGAAGGUGAAGGUGAAGGAGGAGAAGGUGGUGAAGGUGAAGAAGGAGGAGAAGGUGGUGAAGGUGAAGAAGGAGAAGGUGGGGAAGCAGGAGAAGAAGAAAGUUCCAAAACAUGUCCAUAAGUUCUUGGCUGCAGAGGAGAAAAAGAACAAAAUGCUGCAGAAGGAGAAAGAGAAGCAAGCCAGGCAGCAAAAGUUGGCACUAGAGAACACAAAUGCAGAGCCAGAAGAAGUGGAGAUGCCACCGGCCCAGGAACCCCCUGCCUCUGAGGAAGAAUAUUACAGCUCUCUGUCUGAGAGCGAGUCAGAGGAGUCCAGCCCUAGCCUGACAGAGAGGAUGAUGGGGGAGUCGGAAGAGGCUGAGGAAGAGCUGCCCGGUAUCUUCUGGGACAGCCCUGUUUCCCCUAAUCGGAGCCUUUCUCCAAGGACAGAUGAGGCCCUGCGAGACGUGGUGAACUGCAGUGUGGAGCAGGUGGCCCGUAAGCAACGGGGACAGAGAGAUGUGGAGAUGGAUCUGCAGGGCCGGCUCCAGAGUGAACUUGCAGUGCUGCGCUGGGGCGGGCCAACCGUAGAAGCGCACAGCAUCCUUGAUCUGCUAGGAGCUGGACUCAGACCUGCACCCCCUGCUGGGCCAAGGCCGGGCAAGGCAGCACGGGACCGGAGAGCAGCGCCCAUGUACAUCGACAAGGACCAUGAGAGACCUGCCAGCAUUGAGAUUCCUGAGCAAGACAUCCAGCAAGUGUCACCCAGCAGCUCAAUGAGGGCCACUGCUUACCUUUGGUGAUGUUAAUGGUGGCACUACUAAAGGCAUGUCGCCACUGUCAAUGUCACCAUUUCCCUAUGUCCAAUAAAGCCCCAUCUCCCAAGCA